UGUGGUUUAAUUCGAAGCAACGCGAAGAACCUUACCAAAUCUUGACAUCCUCUGACCACCCUGGAGACAGGGUUUCCCUUCGGGGCAGAGUGACAGGUGGUGCAUGGUUGUCGUCAGCUCGUGUCGUGAGAUGUUGGGUUAAGUCUCGCAACGAGCGCAACCCCUAUCUUUAGUUACCAUCAAGUUAUGUUGGGGACUCUAGAGAUACUGCCUCGGUUAACGGGGAGGAAGGUGGGGAUGACGUCA
rnacentral:rRNA from 1 species